rnacentral:misc_RNA from 1 species
GAUGAAGAACGCAGCGAAAUGCGAUAAGUAAUGUGAAUUGCAGAAUUCAGUGAAUCAUCGAAUCUUUGAACGCACAUUGCGCCCGCCAGUAUUCUGGCGGGCAUGCCUGUUCGAGCGUCAUUUCAACCCUCAGGGCCCUUUUGGACCUGGCGUUGGGGCUCGGCCGCUACCCUGCGGCCGUCCCCGAAAGAUAGUGGCGGUCUCGCUGUAGCCUCCUCUGCGUAGUAGUUACAUCUCGCACUGGAACGCGGCGCGGCCAUGCCGUUAAACACCUCACUUCUCAAGGUUGACCUCGGAUCAGGUAGGAAUGCCCGCUGAACUUAAGCAUAUCAAUAAGCGGAGGA